GAUGAGAACGUAGCGAAAUGCGAUAAGUAAUGUGAAUUGCAGAAUUCAGUGAAUCAUCGAAUCUUUGAACGCACAUUGCGCCCGCCAGUAUUCUGGCGGGCAUGCCUGUUCGAGCGUCAUUUCAACCCUCAGGCCCCCAGUGCCUGGCGUUGGGGAUCGGCGCGGCGCCCUCCGGGGCGCUGCCGGCCCCGAAAUUCAGUGGCGGUCUCGCUGUAGCCCUCCUCCGCGUAGUAGCACAACCUCGCGGCCUGGAGCUCGGCGGUGGCCAUGCCGUAAAACACCCCACUUCUGAAAGUUGACCUCGGAUCAGGUAGGAAUACCCGCUGAACUUAAGCAUAUCAAUAAGCGGAGGA
rnacentral:misc_RNA from 1 species